UCUCGCCCCCUACAGUGCAAUUCGGCUAGGUAUACAUCUGCGCUAAAAUAUCAAGGUGAAAGUCAUCAUAGCUUGCGUAGUAGGCCUACAUCUGCAGCCUGUUUUCCUGGUCAACUGUGAAGAUCCCGUUAUUUGGCUGUGAGCAUCCUGGUGGUCCAGCCUGCAGCCUAGUGGACUCUGCCCCCCUCCCGCCGUAUCUAAAUAAGUGUUUUCAAGAAGAUGAUCACCAUGGUAAUGCACAGCUCUGCUCCACUCUGUUUUGAUGCAGAAGAAGGCCACGGGCAGCCAUCUUAGAUGAGGGUGGAAGGUAUUUGACCUCCCAUCUGCAGUGCAGCCCUCGAGUGCUGAUGAUGGUGGAGGUGGAGGGGAUGCAAUUGAGGGAUAGUUUCACCAGACUGGAUCUACAGAUGAUUCAGAGGGGAGCUAUAUGCGACGGCUGACAUUUUGAGGAGAAACCUAUCCAGAGCAGCUGAGGAAAAUAAACCGAACAAUGCCAACCACUGUCAUUCAUAACAUGGGUGUUAUGACACACUUCAAGAAGAGACAAAACAUUAGCUCAUCUGGAGUACAGGUCUGGAAGAAUACAGAUCAUGCAGACGGAUGGAGAUAAAACCAAGACUCGAUGGUAUAAAGUCACUAAUUUAAGGAUCAAAAAGCAACACCAGAGCCAACUUCUUUUUAAACUUAUGAUUCUUCACUAUCAACACAUAGAAACACCACAGUAGGAUGUGUUGAUGGGAGCAUUCCUAUUGCAUCCCAGAAUGCUUUUCAAGUCUGGUGCUUGUCUUGGGGGGUUGGGGGAGUGCUUCUCUGGUGUAUGUGAGAAUGCCUCUUUUCUUUUCUUUUCAGCUGCAGGUCUUUGGCUCUGUGGGCGUCGAGACGCCAGACUUACAAAUCUAUCAUGUUAAUGAGGAGGGAAUAUACAAAACGAGGAAUAACAGCAUUGAAACAAAUAUACUGACAAAAACAAAUAAAUAAGGUACUUGUUUUUAACUCCCUGAAGCCAAGUGGUAUGAGCUUCAGUGUGUCUGAAGCCAGCAGCAGUUAUGACUGCAGGUCACAGAGAAGAAAGGGAAGCUUCUGAAAUGAAUAGAGAGUAGCACGGAGGCAAGCAUGGUUAACAAUCCUUUUCUGGUAGCUUUGCAUAAUGCCUCGGGCCAGAGAACAAGCGAAAGAAAGAGAGCCACAGUAUUAGUGCAACAGGAAGACAAAUAACAGCAGAAAACAGGCAAAAAGUGAGACUGAAAGAUACAGAAAGUCCAAAAAAAAAAUAAUAAUAAAAGAGAUCAACAGACAGAUGGUGGAAAGUGACCGAAUGUGUGUCAGUGUGUGGACUGAGGGAGAGUUGUAUACACAGACGGAGAAUGAGCCAGUGGCUUGCUCAGUACACAGGCACACAGCUGCCCACUGACAGAAUGGGGCUCUAAUAGGGCCUUCUGCCAGCAACACAAAGGCAUUGCAAAUGUGUGCAUCUUAAGCACACACUGGACUGGAGUGCAGAGUGAUCCCCUUUAAAAACCCACGGGCCUUAAUUGCUUCCAUAAAUUAUGUCUAUAGUAUGUCCAAAACAAGUUUACAGAAUGCUAGAGCUGAGUACAAUUGAACGUGCAUCAAGUUAAGUGCAAUAAUAUUAAAAAGAAAAACUAAUUACCAGCAACAUGAGAAUGUGUUAACUUACUUCUUCCUCUUUAGUCAGAUAUUGGGCUGGGUAGCAAACCUCUCUUGAGUAAAGAUCAAAC